rnacentral:misc_RNA from 1 species
GGCAGAAAAUACACACUUUCGGACUAGCUAGCCUCGGUCGAAUUCGGAGUGGGAAUGUUUUUCUCAAAAUGGCGCUCGGUCAGUAUAACGAGUAGACAGAUUAGAUGACGCGAAAAAGUGAAAAUUAACAACAAAAACGUGAUAUUUUUGUAAAAAAUAUAAUUGCAAAGUCUACCUAAGAACUUCUUUAAGAGCGGUGAAGUGAAGUUUGAUGCGUGAAACAAUUAAAAGAGUGAAAAAAUAGAAAUUCUACAUAAAGUUAACGCAACGAGUUGCAGGAGAACGCGACGAGUCACGCAAGGCGACAGCGUUGGGCAACGGCGCACAGAACGACCGGUCGAGCCGUUUGCCGUGCAGCCACAACAGUCGUAAUCCAGCUAGAUACAUAACGCAAGACAAAGUACAUAUUUCUGGUGCUCCACUGGUUUGCGAAUACUGAGCGGGUGUCGGUGUAGUGCGGGACAAGUAAAAAAAAAUCCCCAAACUAGAAGUUUUUCGCACUGAAUGUUACACCAAUCGGAAGCGAAGCAAUCUUAAACACACAUUUACUAGCAAACCGUUUUGUUCGUCAAUAUGGAUCCCAAUUCAAGUCCCUGGUCUUAUGCUUAUAAUCGUAUUGUGCCAUCUGCCUCCAGCACUGGAUCUGCAGAAGAUUUUCAACAUCCACACUUGGCGCCUGCCCAAUCUCUAUUUCUACAGGCUGCACACUCUGGUAUAGCAGCUAGCUUUAAUGCCGCAGCUGCUGGCAGCGGAAGUUUUGUAUCACCUUCACCAAUUGGCGGAUAUAAUCCAGUUUUUCAACAAAUCUACCAUCAUGCGGCUGCAGCAAGUGCACAACCAAAACCAGCCCACUACGCCUCAAGUGCUGUAAAUACACCAGUGCGUCAAAUACAAAUACCAUCAACGUUAGAUAAACAAUUGACGAAUUUCCAAAAUCAGGCCGCCGUCGCUGUUGUAUCAUCAGCUGCUGCAGCCGCUGCAAAUAAUGCUGCUUCUAAUUAUUAUGGUGAAAAUUCCUCAUCGAGCGGUGCAUCGCCAUCGCCCACAACAUCGGCAAUUACAUCAACUACGCUCAGUUGGAAUACGCCGAUGAUAUCCAAUACAUUUUUGGCUAUGCAACAACAACAACAACAGCAGCAGCAGCAAACACAACAACAGCAGCAACAUCAACAACAGCAAGCGCAACAACCACAGCUGAAUUUAGUGGCCGAGAAGGUGCAAAUCAAACAGGAGAAGCCAUCCGACCUUAAAGCUUAUAAUGAUAUACUUUUAUAUCAGACGCAAUUACAUCAACAACAACAACAGUUGCAACAACAGCAACAACAACAGCAAGAUGAAAUCAAUGCUGCAAUUGACAAUGAUGCUGAAAUGUAUUGUACCAUUGAUGGUAAAAAUUACAAAAUUGUACGCAAAGGUCAACAACAACAACUAAUACAAGUCGAUCAAAUACAUCAGAAUGAUGUAAAUAGUUCAUAUGCUGCUGGCAGCACAACACCAGCACUCACAGUUGCUGUAGAUAAUGCCGUGUCACCUCAUGUAAUUGUCUAUAAGACAGGUGGUGGUGCCGAAUCACCGGCCUUGCGACGUAAUAUUGCAGGUGCAGGCUCACCGGCUUCGGCCACAGUUGCUUAUUCGUCUGUGAUACAAAGUACACCGCAACAACAGCUGCAGCAGCAACAGCAACAACAACAGCAGCAACACGUUUCAGCGUGUUGGACUAAAAUCGAAGAUACUAAUGGUUCGACGGACGGUGGUGCUAGUACGGAAGAUGUGAAAAAUGUCUUGCAAUUACAAGUAAAACAAGAAAACCGUCAAUUGGGUUAUGUCACUGAUAACGAUGUGGGCGAAAGUUUGAUAUUCAACUUGCCACCUGGACUUGAAAUUAAACAGACGCUAUAUAAUCCCAGUACGGGUGCUACUAUUGGUAAUUCGACUGUGUUGCAACAUACCCAACAACAGCAACAAGCACAAGCUCAAGCGCAACAACAGCAGUUGUUAGCACAACAAAAUUUGUUCAAUAAUCAAAAAUUGCAACAACAACAGCAACAACAAGUCGAAAAGCAACGUCGCCAGCAUAUGGUGGCGAAUAUGUUGGUAUCGCCUACGGCGAAUACGAAUAAUCAACAACAACAGCAGCAGCAACAACAACAAACUUCCUCCUCCCAAGCGUCACAGAUUCAAAUCAUACCCAAGGUUGAAGUGGAGCCGCCAAAGCAACUGCCUGCAAAACCUGCCAAAACGCCGCGCAAGCGUCAACCGAAAAAGACGCUCGUCACGAACGACUAUGCGACGGUGCGCAGUCCACAGCAGGAUGUGGUGCAGCAUCAACAACAACAGCAAGCAAUACAACAACAGCAACAACAACAGCAUCAUCAACAGCAGCAGCAACAACAACAGCAGCAAACGCAACAGCAGCAGCAGCAACAACAACAAGCUACCUACUAUGAUUUCAACAGUAAAUGGAAUACGCCCUUAAAGAUCGAGAACAAUACGCCGUCGCCGGUUGCGCAAGCGCCCCCCAUUAGCAUACCGACCUAUGUCAAUCCACAUGCCGCACAACAGCAACAACAACAACAGCAGCAGCAGCAACAACAAGUGCAGCAACAGCAACAACAGGUGGCCGCGCAACAACAGCAACAAAUACCGCAACCAGCGCAUAUGCAGUCGUCGCAAGCGCAAUCACAGGCGCAUCUGACGAAUUUAUCUUCGUACUAUUCGAGCACAUUUCCACAACAAAUUGCUUCACAGUACACUGCAUGCAUGCAGCAGAAUGCAGCAACAGCUGGCGCCAUACCACAUACGCUUUAUAAUCUCAAUCAACCACAGCAACAGCAGCAGCAGCAACCGCUACAACAGUCGCCGACACAGCACCAGCAACCACCUACGCAACCGCCACAGCAGCAGCAGCAGGCGCAGGUACAAGCACAACUCCAACAACAUGCGCCACAACAGCAGCAAACGCCACAACAACAGCAACAGUCCAAUACCGAUGCAACGCCCGCUGCCAAUGAUCCGAGCAAUAAAGUGAUUGUGCCCAAUAUCGAAGAGGAAUUGGACUUUCUCACGGACGCUGUAGCGCCCAAGCAGGGCUAUGCGAACUCUUCAACGAACUUGAACAAUAGCAAUGGACGUAGCGCCACGAAUUUCGGCAUACGUCAUCCCCAAACGGAGGCACAAAGUGCUGGCAGCACGCCAGCGGCCACUGCACUCACUAAUAACGGUUUGACAGCAGCGGCGGCGGCGGCAACGGGCGCAACGUUAGGCAAUAGUAUUGUACCGGGUAGCGAGCGUAGGCCGGUUGUUGGCACUUCGAUUGGCGAAAAAAAGACACAGUUCAUGGAUAGCUAUUUGAAGUUCCUGCAGGGUGAGCGUGACGAUUCGCCACCACCGGCUGUGGUUAAGAGUGGUCGCAAGGUGAACUAUCAACGUUCGCCCAGCGGCAAUGCGGCAAAACGUACAAAAACCGGCAAUGGCAAUAACGAGGAGGCGGCGGCAAGCGCAGGCGCGACAGGUGGUCAAACGAACGAGCAGCAAGCAAACCAGCAACAAGCAGGCGUUGUUGACGAACAAACUCCCGGUUUGUCGGCCGACGAUGCGCAUCGUAUUAAAAUACUCUCACAAACGCAGAUAUUGCCGAAGAAGCGACCACAGGCGCACAUGGCCGCGGCGGCGGCUGCAGCUGCUGCUGCCGAGACAUCGGCUGCCGCCACAGCAAGCACACCGUCGGUCAUACAGCAUCCAGCUGAGCAGCAGCAACAGCAACAGUUACAACAUCAACAGCAGCAACAACAGCAGCAGCAGCAGCAGCAAUCAUUCCGCCCGUAUGGGCAGCAGAUUCCGACCCAAACACAACAACCGCAACAGGCGCAACAACAACAACAAAACCAGCAGCAGCAGCAACAACAUCCACAACAACAGCCACAGCAACAGCAACAACAAUAUUGUGCACAAUUGGGGUUUAGCGGUGGUGGCGGUGGCGGCGGCAGCAGUCAAGGUUGCUCAACCGACGGAUAAGCGCUUUAGUCAACUCUCACCUUGUAAGAGAUCUAUGUAUAUAAAUGUAUAUAUACACAUGUAUAGCAUAACGGGAAUUUCACUUGCACUUGUCCAUAACUCCAUAAGAACACAUUCAUUAGAAACACUUUUAACAACACAUAAACACCCAUCCAUCUAACCACGUAUACAUUCACCACAUCAAACAACUUUGUGCCUGUCCUUACCAUUUGCAUUUCGGCUUGACUUGCCUCGUCUUUUAGAUCCACUCACAUUGCCGCCACGACGCGAGCAAGGUCUACGCAAAGCGAAACAGACGAGCAUGCAUGCCAUGUUCAUGAGUACGGGCACUGCAGGUGGCGCUAGCGGCAGCGGUUUGGCUGAUAAUGAAGAUCAAGAGCCCGAUGAGUUCGCGGACUCCGACACGGAUCCCGUGUGGACGCCACAAGACGAUGAUAGCGAUGAGGGCGGCCGAAGCUAUCGCCGGAAGACAUCAUCGCGUAGAAAUAAGAGUGCACCGCGUAAAACUAACUAUAAU